rnacentral:rRNA from 1 species
CCUACGGGGGGCAGCAGUGGGGAAUAUUGCGCAAUGGGCGAAAGCCUGACGCAGCGACGCCGCGUGAGGGAUGAAGGUCUUCGGAUCGUAAACCUCUGUCAGCAGGGAAGAACGGUCACUGUGCUAAUCAGCAGUGAAUUGACGGUACCUGCAAAGGAAGCCCCGGCUAACUACGUGCCAGCAGCCGCGGUAAUACGUAGGGGGCAGGCGUUAUCCGGAUUUACUGGGUGUAAAGGGAGCGUAGACGGCGGUGCAAGUCUGGAGUGAAAGGCAGGGGCCCAACCCCUGGACUGCUCUGGAAACUG